GAUGAACGCUAGCUACAGGCUUAACACAUGCAAGUCGCGGGGCGGCAUGGGGGUUGCUUGCAAUCCCCGAUGGCGACCGGCGCACGGGUGAGUAACGCGUAUCCAACCUGCCCUUCACCACGGGAUAACCCGGCGAAAGUCGGACUAAUACCGUAUGUUGUCCAUUGACGGCAUCCGAUUUGGACGAAAGGCUUGGCGGUGAGGGAUGGGGAUGCGUCCGAUUAGCCAGACGGCGGGGUAACGGCCCACCGUGGCUACGAUCGGUAGGGGUUCUGAGAGGAAGGUCCCCCACACUGGAACUGAGACACGGUCCAGACUCCUACGGGAGGCAGCAGUGAGGAAUAUUGGUCAAUGGGCGUAAGCCUGAACCAGCCAAGUAGCGUGCAGGAUGACGGCCCUAUGGGUUGUAAACUGCUUUUAUGCGGGGAUAAAGUGGCCCACGGGUGGGCUUUUGCAGGUACCGCAUGAAUAAGGACCGGCUAAUUCCGUG
rnacentral:rRNA from 1 species